GAGACAGCAGUAGCCGCGGGAAUACGGAGGGUGCAAGCGUUAAUCGGAAUUACUGGGCGUAAAGCGCACGCAGGCGGUCUGACAAGUCAGAUGUGAAAUCCCCGGGCUUAACCUGGGAACUGCAUUUGAAACUGUCAGGCUGGAGUCUUGUAGAGGGGGGUGGAAUUCCAGGUGUAGCGGUGAAAUGCGUAGAGAUCUGGAGGAAUACCGGUGGCGAAGGCGGCCCCCUGGACAAAGACUGACGCUCAGGUGCGAAAGCGUGGGGAGCAAACAGGAUUAGAUACCCGAGUAGUCCCUGUCUCUUAUAC
rnacentral:rRNA from 1 species